GGAGGGGAUAAGCUUUAUUUCUUGGAGGUUUUAAUGAAAAAAAAGGAGAAAUUUAUCCUUAAAACACAAUGUAAUUAAUAAUUAUUUUCUUUUUUCUUUUUUAUGAUAUUAUUCCAAAAGUAGUGAGGAGAAGCAUAGAACAUUCUAGCUCGAAGCUUGGUGAUAGAUAAGUUUUUUUCUUCAUUUUUUUUUCAUGGUUUACAUGCAACUAUUUUAAGUUAUGGAAAA
rnacentral:lncRNA from 1 species